rnacentral:lncRNA from 1 species
CCCCUGAGUGCUGGGCAUGCCCUGCCCUAUCACUUACCACCCUAAUCCCCCACAGGGGAGGGAGGGAGCUUUCUCACUGGGCUGCAGGGCAGAGGGGUGAGGGAAGUGAGGAAUAUCCUAAGCAAGAUUAGAGAGGAGAGUAACCUGAUUUCUCUGUUCCCCUCCAUCUGUGAGCCACCCACCUUACUCCCAUUGUAUUGCUAGGCAGAGGGGCAGGGGAUGUGAAAAAACGUCAUCAAGCAGGAUGGAGAUGGAGAGGGGACCAGCUCUGCCCAAGUCCAUCUGCCUUUCUAUUUCUUCCAUGGGGUAGACUCAGAGUGUCAACAGAGGAAGUGAGAAGAAAGCAGUCAUUCACCUAUGCCCUUCCAUCAAAGUACUGAGUGUAUAGAUGCUAAUCCUUAAAUACCCAUUACAUUCUUUCACAAGGAUAUUAUUUUAUCUGGUACAUAAAGUUUUAUAAUGAAAGUUGUAA